rnacentral:rRNA from 1 species
GUUUGAUCCUGGCUCAGAACGAACGCUGGCGGCAGGCCUAACACAUGCAAGUCGUACGAGAAGGUUCUUUCGGGAACUGGAGAGUGGCGCACGGGUGAGUAACGCGUGGGGACCUACCUCUUAGUGGGGGAUAACGGUUGGAAACGACCGCUAAUACCGCAUACGCCCUUCGGGGGAAAGAUUUAUCGCUAAGAGAUGGACCCGCGUUGGAUUAGAUAGUUGGUGAGGUAACGGCUCACCAAGUCAGCGAUCCAUAGCUGGUUUGAGAGGAUGAUCAGCCACACUGGGACUGAGACACGGCCCAGACUCCUACGGGAGGCAGCAGUGGGGAAUAUUGGACAAUGGGCGGAAGCCUGAUCCAGCCAUGCCGCGUGAGUGAAGAAGGCCUUCGGGUUGUAAAGCUCUUUCAGAUGCGAAGAUGAUGACGGUAACAUCAGAAGAAGCCCCG